CAGUAGCCGCGGUAAGACGAACCGUGCGAACGUUAUUCAGAAUUACUGGGCUUAAAGCGCGUGUAGGUGGGAAGGUACGUCUGUCGCUGAAAUCCCCCGGCUCAACCGGGGAACGGGCGCGGAUACGGCCAUCCUCGAGGAACGUAGGGGGAUCUGGAACUUCCGGUGGAGCGGUGAAGUGCGUAGAUAUAGGAAGGAACACCAGUGGCGAAGGCGACCACCUGGGCUCAUACUGACACUGAGGUGCGAAAGCGUGGGGAGCAAACAGGAUUAGAUACCCCUGUAGUCCCUGUCUCUUAUA
rnacentral:rRNA from 1 species